rnacentral:rRNA from 1 species
GACGAACGCUGGCGGCGUGCUUAACACAUGCAAGUCGAACGGAAAGGCCCUGCUUUUGUGGGGUGCUCGAGUGGCGAACGGGUGAGUAACACGUGAGUAACCUGCCCUUGACUUUGGGAUAACUUCAGGAAACUGGGGCUAAUACCGGAUAUGAGCUCCUGCUGCAUGGUGGGGGUUGGAAAGUUUCGGCGGUUGGGGAUGGACUCGCGGCUUAUCAGCUUGUUGGUGGGGUAGUGGCUUACCAAGGCUUUGACGGGUAGCCGGCCUGAGAGGGUGACCGGCCACAUUGGGACUGAGAUACGGCCCAGACUCCGACGGGAGGCAGCAGUGGAGAAUAUUGCACAAUGGGCGGAAGCCUGAUGCAGCAACGCCGCGUGCGGGAUGACGGCCUUCGGGUUGUAAACCGCUUUCGCCUGUGACGAAGCGUGAGUGACGGUAAUGGGUAAAGAAGCACCGGCUAACUACGUG